rfam:Omnitrophica WOR_2 bacterium SM23_72 WORSMTZ_425, whole genome shotgun sequence.
GGGCCUCUAGCUCAUCUGGUAGAGCACCACCCUUUUAAGGUGGGUGUGCCGCGUUCGAGUCGCGGGAGGCUCA